UACGUAGGUGGCGAGCGUUGUCCGGAUUUAUUGGGUUUAAAGGGUGCGUAGGCGGCCCUGUAAGUCAGUGCUGAAAUAUCCCGGCUUAACUGGGAGGGUGGCAUUGAUACUGUGGGGCUAGAGUACAGAUGAGGUAGGCGGAAUUGACGGUGUAGCGGUGAAAUGCUUAGAUAUCGUCAAGAACACCUAUAGCGAAGGCAGCUUACUAGGCUGUAACUGACGCUGAGGCACGAAAGUGUGGGGAUCAAACAGGAUUAGAAACCCCCGUAGUCC
rnacentral:rRNA from 1 species